GAUCCUGGCUCAGGAUGAACGCUGGCGGCGUGCUUAACACAUGCAAGUCGAACGGUGAAGCUCCAGCUUGCUGGAGUGGAUCAGUGGCGAACGGGUGAGUAACACGUGAGCAACCUGCCCCGAACUCUGGGAUAAGCGCUGGAAACGGCGUCUAAUACCGGAUACGCACCAGAGCGGCAUCGUUACUGGUGGGAAAGAUUUUUUGGUUCGGGAUGGGCUCGCGGCCUAUCAGCUUGUUGGUGAGGUAACGGCUCACCAAGGCGUCGACGGGUAGCCGGCCUGAGAGGGUGACCGGCCACACUGGGACUGAGACACGGCCCAGACUCCUACGGGAGGCAGCAGUGGGGAAUAUUGCACAAUGGGCGGAAGCCUGAUGCAGCAACGCCGCGUGAGGGACGACGGCCUUCGGGUUGUAAACCUCUUUUAGCAGGGAAGAAGCGAAAGUGACGGUACCUGCAGAAAAAGCGCCGGCUAACUACGUGCCAGCAGCCGCGGUAAUACGUAGGGCGCAAGCGUUAUCCGGAAUUAUUGGGCGUAAAGAGCUCGUAGGCGGUUUGUCGCGUCUGCUGUGAAAACCCGAGGCUCAACCUCGGGCCUGCAGUGGGUACGGGCAGACUAGAGUGCGGUAGGGGAGAUUGGAAUUCCUGGUGUAGCGGUGGNAAUGCGCAGAUAUCAGGAGGAACACCGAUGGCGAAGGCAGAUNUCUGGGCCGU
rnacentral:rRNA from 1 species